rnacentral:rRNA from 1 species
UUUAAUUGAAGAGUUUGAUCAUGGCUCAGAUUGAACGCUGGCGGCAGGCCUAACACAUGCAAGUCGAGCGGAAACGAAGAGGUGCUUGCACCUCUGGCGUCGAGCGGC